rnacentral:lncRNA from 1 species
ACUGGAAGUUAAAGGAUACAUGCUCCUUCCUAAAACAUCACCUGAAGACCAGAUUUAGAUGGGGAAGGCAAGGCCCAAUUUUUUUUUUAAACUCCUCUAACCAGCUAUUGUACUAAACACCUGGAGGAGUGAAGUGACAGUCUGGUUAUAUAAGCUGACCACUGGAACCCUGUCUCCUGCUACCCUGGCUUCCAGGGUCUUUCUUGUUUAAGACCCUCCAUUCCUAACACAUGACUACUCAGUGUGCUUCUCCCUUUCAGCAAACACUGAAACGCAGAAGUGAGCCAAUCUGGCGACUCAGAGCAUCACCAAAGAUACCUGAGAGAAAUCGGGGGACAUUCGCAGAACACCCACCAAACCUCAACUGCCGGACCCCGAGGCACACCAAUGCAUGUAGACAGAAGCACAAACUUCAGUUCCUCCCUCCAGGCUUGCCAGGCUCAGCUGACUCUACUCCUGGGGAGUCUCCUGCUCAAUCUCUCUCACUGGUCCUCCACUGUCCAUGACUCUGGAUUCCCUCCUCUCACUCC